AUACGAAGGUGGCAAGCGUUGUUCGGAAUCACUGGGCUUAAAGGGCGCGUAGGCGGACCAGAAAGUGUCUUGUGAAAUCCCCCGGCUUAACCGGGGAACGGCGAGGCAAACUACUGGUCUUGAGGCAAGUAGGGGUGUGUGGAACUCUUGGUGGAGCGGUGGAAUGCGUAGAUAUCAAGAGGAACGCCGAAGGUGAAGACAGCACACUGGACUUGUACUGACGCUGAGGCGCGAAAGCGUGGGGAGCAAACAGGAUUAGAUACCCUGGUAGUCCACGCUGUAAACGAUGCCUACUAGGUUGUGGGGGUUCUGACACUUCCACAGUCGUAGCAAAAGUGUUAAGUAGGCCGCCUGGGGAGUACGGUCGCAAGGCUAAA
rnacentral:rRNA from 1 species